rnacentral:rRNA from 1 species
GCGUGCUUAACACAUGCAAGUCGAACGGAAAGGCCCUGCUUUUGUGGGGUGCUCGAGUGGCGAACGGGUGAGUAACACGUGAGUAACCUGCCCUUGACUUUGGGAUAACUUCAGGAAACUGGGGCUAAUACCGGAUAGGAGCUCCUGCUGCAUGGUGGGGGUUGGAAAGUUUCGGCGGUUGGGGAUGGACUCGCGGCUUAUCAGCUUGUUGGUGGGGUAGUGGCUUACCAAGGCUUUGACGGGUAGCCGGCCUGAGAGGGUGACCGGCCACAUUGGGACUGAGAUACGGCCCAGACUCCUACGGGAGGCAGCAGUGGGGAAUAUUGCACAAUGGGCGGAAGCCUGAUGCAGCAACGCCGCGUGCGGGAUGACGGCCUUCGGGUUGUAAACCGCUUUCGCCUGUGACGAAGCGUGAGUGACGGUAAUGGGUAAAGAAGCACCGGCUAACUACGUGCCAGCAGCCGCGGUGAUACGUAGGGUGCGAGCGUUGUCCGGAUUUAUUGGGCGUAAAGGGCUCGUAGGUGGUUGAUCGCGUCGGAAGUGUAAUCUUGGGGCUUAACCCUGAGCGUGCUUUCGAUACGGGUUGACUUGAGGAAGGUAGGGGAGAAUGGAAUUCCUGGUGGAGCGGUGGAAUGCGCAGAUAUCAGGAGGAACACCAGUGGCGAAGGCGGUUCUCUGGGCCUUUCCUGACGCUGAGGAGCGAAAGCGUGGGGAGCGAACAGGCUUAGAUACCCUGGUAGUCCACGCUGUAAACGGUGGGUACUAGGUGUGGGGUCCAUUCCACGGGUUCCGUGCCGUAGCUAACGCUUUAAGUACCCCGCCUGGGGAGUACGGCCGCAAGGCUAAAACUCAAAGGAAUUGACGGGGCCCCGCACAAGCGGCGGAGCAUGCGGAUUAAUUCGAUGCAACGCGUAGAACCUUACCUGGGUUUGACAUGGAUCGGGAGCGCUCAGAGAUGGGUGUGCCUCUUUUGGGGUCGGUUCACAGGUGGUGCAUGGCUGUCGUCAGCUCGUGUCGUGAGAUGUUGGGUUAAGUCCCGCAACGAGCGCAACCCUUGUUCACUGUUGCCAGCACGUUAUGGUGGGGACUCAGUGGAGACCGCCGGGGUCAACUCGGAGGAAGGUGGGGAUGACGUCAAGUCAUCAUGCCCCUUAUGUCCAGGGCUUCACGCAUGCUACAAUGGCUGGUACAGAGAGUGGCGAGCCUGUGAGGGUGAGCGAAUCUCGGAAAGCCGGUCUCAGUUCGGAUUGGGGUCUGCAACUCGACCUCAUGAAGUCGGAGUCGCUAGUAAUCGCAGAUCAGCAACGCUGCGGUGAAUACGUUCCCGGGGCUUGUACACACCGCCCGUCAAGUCAUGAAAGUUGGUAACACCCGAAGCCGGUGGCCUAACCGUUGUGGGGGAGCCGUCGAAGGUGGGACUGGUGAUUAGGACUAAGUCAUAACA